rnacentral:misc_RNA from 1 species
AAGUCGUAACAAGGUUUCCGUAGGUGAACCUACAGAAGGAUCAUUAUCAUAAGGCUUCAGCCUUAUCAAGAUAGAACCCUUGCCUUUAUAGUACCUUCUGUUGCCUCAGCAAUGCGUAAUAGCACAGCCAAUAGGGCCAAAAAAUAAACCUUUGUAUUAUAGUCAUAGUCUGAAAAACAAACAAAAAUUAAAA